rnacentral:lncRNA from 1 species
CUGGUUCAACGAAUAAUUAGACCUUCCCUUGGGUCACGGACUGCAAUAGACCGUUUUCUCUUGUGGAAGGCCUACAAAGGAUUCAGUAGGCUUGGGCCUAUUUAGACUUUGAGAGUAGGAGAAAUUCUUUGUGCACCGCAUGCAGUGCGCGAACGCACGGGACCGGGCAAAAAAAAUUUUUUUUUUCCCACGCGGCUGCCCCUCAUGCGUACAGUGCGUGCGGUGCACAACGAAUUUCUCUUGAGAAAAGAGCAUGCAGGAUUUGUGGAAGUCUAUAUAUACCACAUUGAUGUGGAGCACACCAUUCAAUCAUAAUAAAAUAUAUAACCAUCACUUUCCAAC